rnacentral:rRNA from 1 species
UAGGGAAUAUUGGACAAUGAGCGAAAGCUUGAUCCAGCCAUGCCACGUGUGUGAUGACGGCCUUCGGGUUGUAAAGCACUUUAGGUAAUGAGGAAAAAUUAGAUGUUAAUACCACCUAAUCAUGACGUUAAUUACAGAAUAAGCACCGGCUAAAUCCGUGCCAGCAGCCGCGGUAAUACGGAUGGUGCAAGCGUUAAUCGGAAUUACUGGGCGUAAAGCGCGCGUAGGUGGCACACCAAGUUAGAUGUGAAAUCCCAGGGCUUAACCUUGGAACUGCAUCUAAAACUGGUGAGCUAGAGUAUUAGAGAGGAAAGUAGAAUUCUUAGUGUAGCGGUGGAAUGCGUAGAUAU